GUCCUUUUGAUUUUUAUAUAAGGUCUGACCUGCCCUAUGAAUAUUUAAAUGGCCGCGGUAUACUAACCGUGCAAAGGUAGCAUAGUCAUUUGUCUCUUAAUUGGAGGCUUGAAUGAAGGGUUGGACGAGAUAUAAGCUUUCUUUGUUAUAUUUUAUUGAAUUUGACUUUUGAGUUAAAAGGCUUAAAUUUUUUUAUAGGACGAGAAGACCCUAUAGAAUUUUAUAUAUUUGUAUAAUCAAUUUAUUUAUUUAUUAUUUAAUUUUUUGUUUAAAUAUAUUUUGUUGGGGCGAUGGGAAGAUUUUAAUAACUCUUUUUUGUUCUAAUCAUUGAUUUAUGUUUUAUUCUGAUCCUUUUUUAGAGAUUAUAAGAUUAAAUUACCUUAGGGAUAACAGCGUAAUUCUUUUGGAGAGUUCUUAUCGAUAAAAGAGUUUGCGA
rnacentral:rRNA from 1 species